GGCCAGGCAGAGGAAGGGGAUCAUUCAUCAUGCUCGCAGUUCGUUAGAGAGAUAAUGUUUGAGGAAAUUAAAGCAUGGUGCAGAACUGCUCAGGGGUGCUUUUCCUGCACCGUGCAUAUGCUCAUGCUUUAUUUGCCAUUAUUCUGCUGUAAUGUAUGUUUGACUGCUAGCAAGCACAUGAAAACCUAAUAUCAGGCUCAAACUGUGCCUCCUUUAUUUAUAAACAGCUUUUCUUUUGCUUUACACUGAUGGAGCAUGAUACAGAGACAUCUUGCCAUAGACUGUGUCAGUAUAAGGUGCCAAAAAUGAAGAGGAAACAUGUUAUGUGAUUAAACAACUGAGACGUUCUGACAGAUGUUUGCCUGACAGAGUCUGCAGGAAAGGCAGCGACACUCAGAUCUGGAUGGACUCAGGACAGGCACAACCAUCUCAUGUGUGAGCUCCUCCACUGCUGUGCUACAAGAAACAAGCCAGGAUUUCCAGCCCUGGAGAAACUGAUGCUUUUUUCCAUUCCCAUCCUAAGCAAUCUGCUAGCAAAGGAAUUUAUGGAAUGUUCCCAAAUUAAUGAUGAAAAGCCGUCACACAGAAUGGUCCUCACGGUUACAGGUUGUUAAUGGUAGAGUUGGCAGAUUGGACAAAGGCAGCGUUGUCUAAACUGGCAGGGUUGCAGCAGGCAGGGAGGAUGUCUGGGUGCUCUCUUUGCUUUCCAGGUUUUCUUUGCAUAAGAAAGCACUAUUGUGUGUAUCACUUAAAAUUAGAAAUUUAAUAAUUUUUUUAAGAUUUUCUUUCCCACAUCUCAGUGCAGAUAGGGUGUUCCCAAUUACACUUUUAUGACUAUAGAUUUUGCACUUCGCAUUCACAAGAGCAUGGCAAUGUGAUUAAUGUAAAAAAUUGUCAAACAGCUUUAAUCACUGUUGAUUUCCUAUCGAUCCCUGCCCUCCCUUUUCCCAGAGAGCCACUGUGCUUGCACUGCCCUGUCAACUUUUGUGCAGUGAAUAAAAUCUUACACCUUUCUUGGUGCCCUCUUGUC
rnacentral:lncRNA from 1 species